AUUGAACGCUGGCGGCGUGCCUAACACAUGCAAGUCGAGCGGUAACAGGUGUAGCAAUACAUGCUGACGAGCGGCGAACGGGUGAGUAAUGCUUCGGAAUCUACCCAAUGGUGGGGAAUAACCAGCCGAAAGGUUGGCUAAUACCGCAUACGUCCCACGGGAGAAAGCAGGGGAUCGCAAGACCUUGCGCCAAUGGAUGAGCCGAAGUCGGAUUAGCUAGUUGGAGGGUAACGGCCUACCAAGGCGACGAUCCGUAGCUGGUCUGAGAGGACGACCAGCCACACUGGGACUGAGACACGGCCCAGACUCCUACGGGAGCAGCAGUGGGAAUAUUGGACAAUGGGGGAAACCCUGAUCCAGCGACGCCGCGUGUGUGAAGAAGGCC
rnacentral:rRNA from 1 species